UACGAAGGGGGCUAGCGUUGCUCGGAAUCACUGGGCGUAAAGGGUGCGUAGGCGGGUCUUUAAGUCAGAGGUGAAAUCCUGGAGCUCAACUCCAGAACUGCCUUUGAUACUGAAGAUCUUGAGUUCGGGAGAGGUGAGUGGAACUGCGAGUGUAGAGGUGAAAUUCGUAGAUAUUCGGAAGAACACCAGUGGCGAAGGCGGCUCACUGGACUGGUAUUGACGCUGAGGUGCGAAAGCGUGGGGAGCAAACAGG
rnacentral:rRNA from 1 species